GUCAAUGGUAUUUGGUAUGUAGUUGUAUUAGCAUGGGCACAUCUCAUUUCCUUGGAGAUUGUUUAGCCAUGUUCCUUCAGUUAUGGUUCAUUGUCUUUGAACAUUUGCAAAACUUUCAUGUUAAAGUGUUGCUAUUAAAUUUCAACAUUUGCAUUAUCGGAAUUACAAAAAAGCGAGACAUAUCUCUGUGAUAACAGUUUAUCUUUUCAUAUAAG
rnacentral:lncRNA from 1 species